rnacentral:rRNA from 1 species
GAUGAACGCUAGCGGCAGGCUUAAUACAUGCAAGUCGAGGGGCAGCAUGACUGUAGCAAUACAGUUGAUGGCGACCGGCAAACGGGUGCGGAACACGUACAGAACCUUCCUUCGAGCGGGGAAUAGCCCAGAGAAAUUUGGAUUAAUACCCCAUAGUACAACGGAGUGGCAUCACUUUGUUGUUAAAGAUUUAUCACUUGAAGAUGGCUGUGCGGCUGAUUAGGUAGUUGGCGGGGUAACGGCCCACCAAGCCUGCGAUCAGUAACUGGUGUGAGAGCACGACCAGUCACACGGGCACUGAGACACGGGCCCGACUCCUACGGGAGGCAGCAGUAAGGAAUAUUGGUCAAUGGACGAAAGUCUGAACCAGCCAUGCCGCGUGAAGGAUUAAGGCCCUCUGGGUUGUAAACUUCUUUUAUCUGGGACGAAAAAAGGGUAUUCUUACUCACUUGACGGUACCAGAGGAAUAAGCACCGGCUAACUCCGUGCCAGCAGCCGCGGU